rnacentral:rRNA from 1 species
UACGUAGGGUGCAAGCGUUGUCCGGAAUUAUUGGGCGUAAAGAGCUCGUAGGCGGUUUGUUGCGUCGGCUGUGAAAUCCCGAGGCUCAACCUCGGGUCUGCAGUCGAUACGAGCAAACUAGAGUGUUGCAGGGGAGACUGGAAUUCCUGGUGUAGCGGUGAAAUGCGCAGAUAUCAGGAGGGAACACCGGUGGGCGAAGGCGGGUCUCUGGGCAACAACUGACGCUGGAGGAGCGAAAGCGUGGGGAGCAAACAGG